UUCAAAAUUAGACAUCUUAUACAACUGUAAUAAUUGAUUUUAGUACAUCCUGGCUUCUGUGUAAAUCCCAGUGUGUCCAGAUUUUUAAAAGAAACAUUUCAAAGUCUGGACCACUUAGCAAUCACUUCUGUGAUACUAGUAUUAAAAGGGCAAGGGAGAUAAUGGUUAGUACCUCAAUUUAACUGUACAUAAACACAAAUCAUUACUUGCUUGAUAGUGAUGUGAAGAGAGAAAUAGAGUUUAACAAACAUUUAAAUUUAACACAAAAGAUAGCCUGGUUUAAACAGUAUUUGCAAGUUGCCUGUAGCAUUUUUUAUUUUAAUCUGUAUGGGCUUCUGUGUGAGUCAAAUUGUACCGCCCUG